UUCAUAAACUAGGGUUUCUGCC
rnacentral:siRNA from 1 species